rnacentral:rRNA from 1 species
UACAGAGGUCUCAAGCGUUGUUCGGAUUCAUUGGGCGUAAAGGGUGCGUAGGUGGCGCCGUAAGUCAGGUGUGAAAUCUCGGGGCUCAACCCCGAAACUGCACUUGAUACUGCGGCGCUCGAGUACUGGAGAGGAGAUUGGAAUUUACGGUGUAGCAGUGAAAUGCGUAGAUAUCAUAAGGAACACCGGUGGCGAAGGCGGAUACCUGGAAGAUUCCUGACUCUGAAACACGAAAGCCAGGGGAGCAAACGGG